UACGGAGGGUGCAAGCGUUAUCCGGAUUCACUGGGUUUAAAGGGUGCGUAGGCGGGUUGGUAAGUCCGUGGUGAAAUCCCCAAGCUUAACUUGGGAACUGCCGUGGAUACUAUCAAUCUUGAAUAUCGUGGAGGUAAGCGGAAUAUGUCAUGUAGCGGUGAAAUGCUUAGAUAUGACAUAGAACACCAAUUGCGUAGGCAGCUCACUACGCGAAUAUUGACACUGAGGCACGAAAGCGUGGGGAUCAAACAGG
rnacentral:rRNA from 1 species